UACAGAGGGUGCGAGCGUUGUUCGGAAUUAUUGGGCGUAAAGGGCGCGUAGGCGGUGCGGUAAGUCACCUGUGAAAUCUCCUGGCUCAACUGGGAGCUUGCAGGCGAAACUGCCGUGCUGGAGUGUGGGAGAGGUGCGUGGGAAUUCCCGGUGUAGCGGUGAAAUGCGUAGAUAUCGGGGAGGAACACCUGUGGCGAAAGCGGCGCACUGGACCACAACUGACGCUGAGGCGCGAAAGCUAGGGGAGCAAACAGG
rnacentral:rRNA from 1 species